UACGAAGGGUGCAAGCGUUGUUCGGAAUUACUGGGCGUAAAGCGCGCGUAGGCGGGCCGCUAAGUCGAUUGUGAAAGCCCUGGGCUUAACCUGGGAAUUGCAGUCGAAACUGACGGUCUUGAGUGCCUGAGAGGAUGGCGGAAUUCCCGGUGUAGUAGUGAAAUACGUAGAUAUCGGGAAGAACACCUGAGGCGAAGGCGGCUAUCUGGCGGUGCACUGACGCUGAGGAGCGAAAGCAUGGGGAGCGAACAGG
rnacentral:rRNA from 1 species